GAAAAAUUCUUUUGUGAUUUUAGGAAGGGAAUGCGCCCAAAACUUCCAGUGGUAAGUUGACUCAUCUGGCAUGGUAUAGUACUUCAUGUAGGAGCUUCUAUGGCGCACUUUCACCUGUGAGUUCGUGGUUUCGAUUCUCGCUACGGACUCAUGCAAAAAGAGGUCCGUCAACGCUCUGCCGAAUGUCGUGGGUUUUCUUCGGGUGCUCGGGUUUCCUCCCACAGGGAAAGUUGACAGGGUGGGUUGGGAUGAACACGGUUAAGAAAGCAAUAUCACAAUAGACAAUUCCAUCUAUCGACUAUAUUUUUUAUCUAGACAAGAAAGACGAAAUCUAUCAUUAUAGCUCAAAAGAGCAUCCUAAAAUUAGUAAAACUGCAAAAUUUGGUUGCGAAAUGUUGUAAAAUACGGAAAAUAUGGCCCGGUGAAAUUAGCAAAUUUUGAGUAUUUUAGUAUUACGCGCGGGAAAAAUAACCAGUUUCGGCUCAAAAAUGGUAAAAUACGAAAAUCACAAAAUUUUCAAUUUAUUCCCUUUGCCAGGCAAUUUUCGUUUUUAGAUGGCUUUUGUUUAGCAUGUGUUGUUCCAAGAUCAAGGUUACAGCCGAGACCGGUCUGAAAUGUAUUGGUCCGAAUUAACAUGCCGGUCUGAAGUCAGUCGGCUCGGUCCAGCAGGCGGAAUGACUUGAGACUGGUCUGAGUUAUUUUCGUCCCGGUCUUAUAUGUAAAAAAAAAAUAUAAAUAACACUAUGAUCGAAACGAAACGGUCCCGGUUUGACUUCGUUCCAGUCUCAUGUAAACCUAAGGGACCGGUCAUUAUUUAUGGCGGGGGGUGGCACCGAAGAGAAAAGGGUUGGGUAAACAAAAUUUUGAGUGAGUAAAAGGUUGGGUAAAUGAAAAACGAAACAACUCAAAGGUUGGGUAAUAAAAAUUUAUUGUCAUUUCCAAAGCAUGACUCACUCAAAUAUUGAAGACUGAAAACUUCAAUGUCAACAAUCAUACGUGAAUACAAUAUGUGAAUCAAUCGGAGCAUAUAGACAGUCCAGAAGACAGUCCUUGAUUGUCUAUGCUCUGAUUGUCUGGCAUGUCUUCUGGAUUGUCUAUGAUCAGAGUCACUAUCUUGAUCAUUUUCCGAUUUGUUGGGAGACAAAUUAAUGGUGUCUCCAAAGAAAGUAGAUGUGCAGACAACAUGAAACUUUAGACUGCAGAAAAGUCAGUAAAUUUCACAAGCCGAACGUUAUCAAACUCGUAUCACAGAAGUGAUAAAGGACAUGUGUGACAACUGAAUGACAUCCUUUUGUAACGUUUUUGGCCAGGGGUUGGUAUUUAUUUUUUAAAUGAUACUUGAGGUUGGGUAAUCAAUUUUUUUAUUUGGGUCUGCAAAAUUUUUGGCACGACAACCAUUUCUCUUCGGUGCCACCCCCCACCCCCCACCCCCCAUAAAUAAUGACCGGUUCCUUUAAAGAUAGCGAGAAAUAGUUCCAAAAACCUUUUUUAACAAUACGUUGUUUUUUUUAAAUAGUUGGCUGGAGACGAAGACCAAACCACAGCAGAUUACAUUCACAUGGGCCAAUUAUCGAACACGGGUGAAUACCACCCUUUGGACAAGGAAGAGCCUCUCGAGCAAUUGGCCACGUGACGGUGAGGUUAGUGGAUACUUUAUGUUAGCGAUAUCAUUGGGUCUCAGUCCCAUCACGCCAUCUUCCCAUUUUGAUUACCAGUAAACGUGAAAUUUGGCGGUGAGAAAAUACGAUUAUAGUCUGGCAUAAAGAAUUGGUUUAUAUAUAUGGACUCCGAAUAACAAUGCUAUAUAUUUAUUUGAUGAAAACACAUCAGUUUCAAAAUGAAACUGUGUUAAAACUGUACAUAGAAAUCCUUCGGUCGGACGUAGGAUUUUUUCGGCAACAUAAUUCAUCGACCCAUAUACCAUGGCAUCGUUUUUUUUUCGCUAUCGGAACAUUUGAACUAUAUGCAGUUGAAGAUUUUCCAUAAUUUUGGUACUCCGUCGGUUCGAGCCUUGCUAGGCCGUGGACAUUUUUAAUAAUUGUAGCCGAAUAUUAUUACCUGCUAUGUAAAUAUAAUAUCUGUGAUAUGUGUUUGUUUAGUAUACUCAAAACACUACGGUUUAAUAAUGUAAAUAAAUGUAUGUAUAUACAUAGUUACUUGCAAUUAGUUAAAAUGUAAGAAUAUAGUCAUGUAAAUUAGAAUAUCUUUAAGUUGUAUUAAUUAAUUUGAAUUUUUUAAAAGUAAUGUUACACUUCGAUUUCUGAAUCAACAGCUAGCUAGCAUCGACCAUCGUUCUGUCCCCGUAUAGGCUUAGUGACUACAUUUUAAUAUGAGUUUGUUCCUAUAUACCUAGACCUCCGAAUGGCUUAUAUUCAUUAGCAAGCAUUUUUUGAUGGGCUUAUACAUGGGGGCCGGGCGGACUUAUAUGCGGACGGCAUUUGAUCUUAGUAAUAAUAUUUAUUGUAUACCUGUAAACUACCGUGAACGAAAAGAAAUAUAAACAUACAGUCAGGGUUUUUUUCAGGGAUUUUUUAGGGCGUUAAACGGCCCCAAAAACUCAAUCUUGAAUUGAGUUUUGAAACUCAAUCUUCUCACCAAAGUUUCAGUGCAGUAAAAAUGAAGUUGUUUGAGUUAAAUUCGCGACGUGUGGAAAUUAGUUUCAGUUGGAAACCCGACAAUUAAGAAAAAAUGGCUGGAAUUCAUCUCACAACACAAGAAAAACUAUGCAUUCGCCAUCUUUAACCAGUUUAUAGUGUCCCUCAGUGCCCCUGCUUUAACACAUUCCGUCUCAACUACAUUUAUUGAGUACAAGUGUCAGCCCCCGGUAGGGGGGGGAUGCAGUCACCCCAGUUGUUCAGCUAAACUCAAUCUUCUCUGCAAAAACGGACCCAAGAGAAAAUCCUGAAAAAACCCUGACAGUAUACAUAAUCUGUACAUAAAACAAGUUGGUUAACAUAUUAUAAUACUCUAAUGUAAUUAUUGUGAUUGUCUGAGCUGUUGGAAUCCCCAUCGCUGCGUUAAUAAAUACCUGUCGAAUAAUAAGCCCGUGGGCUUUUACACGGAAGGGCUUAUAUCGGGGAAGGGGUUAUACUCCGGGGUGGGGGGGAGGAGGCUCGUACCACAGUCUAUUCGUGACAUGUAUUUCAGGGCGCGAAAUAGCGGAUGGAGGGUCACCUUGACCGGCCAACUCAAUUUUAGCUCGGACAUACCGAAUUUCUGGCAGGAGUCAAAUUAUACAGAUACAGAGAUACAGAUAUUUCACAGCACACUCCCUAUAUCAGGGCUUUUCAGUGACUGGUUACAUUAUGAACAGAUAGAUAGAACCGGACUGACGUGAAGCAGACCGAGGUAGACUUUGAGCUUACAAAUGGCGCUUGAGCAGCCGCUAUUAGUCCGUACCUCAUUAAUGAUCUGCCUCCAGACCUAUGUGCCUAACCCACCCUGUCAACUUUCCCUGUGGGAGGAAACACGGAGUACCCGGAGAAAACCCACGACUUCCGGCAGAGCGUCGACUUUUACUCUUUUCACAUGAGGACUGGGUUCGAGUCACAUUGAGAAGUUCUCACUGAGCUGAUUCGAACCUGCGGCCUUAGAGGUGAAAGGCAAGUGCGCUAGCCACACCGAAGCCCCUAUGCAAAAUUACCACUGUGAUCACCAGUGGUGUCAAGUAACGAAGUAAAUGUACUUCGUUACUGUACUUGAGUACUAUUUUUGAGAAGUGAGCAUGUAACAAAGUAAACUUUUUCUGGAGUACUUUUACUUGGAACGAAGUCGUUUUAAGAAGUAAUGUUUUACUUCGCUAUUUUUAUUUUGUGGCGAAGUAUUUCGUUACUAACUUUUGUUUAAUUUUACGUGAUUUAUUCGUGAUUUAUAUUAAUUUUGGGACAGGUAAUAGGACCUCUACAUGCGUCUGGGAUCUCUCGUUUGUGCCUUACUUAUAUAAGCAUUAUUUAUUUAAUGGAUUUCUUAUAUCUUUAACGUGGUCUGCAAAGUAGACCAUGCCGUGAAAUAUUGUAUAUUAGGUGCACGCAUAUAUUGUGUGUGCUGUUUCGUGUCUUUUGUAUGUCAAUCCAUUGAAGAAGCCCCCCCCCCUACACGCUACAGACAAUAGUACUUUUACUUUUUACUUCAAGUAUUUUUUUAAGAAUACUUUGUACUUUUUACUUAAGUACGUUUGCCUUCAGUACUUUUUAUUCUUACUCAAG